CCCCUGAAGUUAUAGUGGAGCAGAUUGAAGCCAGAGAUCUUAUCUCCCCGAGAUUACAGCGGAGCAGAUCGAAGACACUAUCCUAUCUCCCUGAAGUUACAGUGGAGUGGGUUAAAAUAAAGGAUCUUAUCUCUCUGAGGUUACAGCAGAGUAGGUCGCAUCAAGUCUUAUUUCCCUGAAGAUGCAGUGGAAUAGAUUGAAAACCACAAACCUCGUCCCCC
rnacentral:lncRNA from 1 species